GGGAGGGGCGCAAGCGUUGUUCGGAAUCAUUGGGCGUAAAGCGCGUGUAGGCGGCUUGGGCAAGUCGGGUGUGAAAGCCCGGGGCUCAACCCCGGAAUUGCACUCGAUACUGCCCUCGCUAGAGUCCCGGAGAGGGUGGCGGAAUUCCCGGUGUAGAGGUGAAAUUCGUAGAUAUCGGGAGGAACACCAGCGGCGAAGGCGGCCACCUGGACGGUGACUGACGCUGAGACGCGAAAGCGUGGGGAGCAAACAGGAUUAGAUACCCUGGUAGUCCACGCCGUAAACGUUGGGUGCUAGGCGCUGCGGGUAUUGACCCCUGCAGUGCCGACGUUAACGCAUUAAGCACCCCGCCUGGGGAGUACGGUCGCAAGAUUA
rnacentral:rRNA from 1 species